rnacentral:rRNA from 1 species
UACGGAGGAUGCGAGCGUUAUCCGGAUUUAUUGGGUUUAAAGGGUGCGUAGGCGGCUUUUUAAGUCAGCGGUGAAAUUUUGCAGCUUAACUGUAACAGCGCCGUUGAUACUGGGGAGCUAGGAUUUGGUUGCUGUGGGUGGAAUGUGUGGUGUAGCAGUGAAAUGCUUAGAGAUCACACAGAAUAUCGAUUGCGAAGGCAGCUCACAAAGCCAAGAUUGACGCUGAGGCACGAAAGUGUGGGGAUCAAACAGGAUUA